ensembl:miRNA
AGCCUUGAGGCCACAAAGGGCUGUCAUGCAGGGAUGAAGGGCGGUGCCUGUGGGUGGAUGCACUCCUCAGUCUCCCUCUCUCUGCAGCUCAGAGCCCUGGCGCUGUGGAGGAGAUCC